CACCACAGCUGUAUCACCCUGCAACCCAAGACCAGUUAUCACUGAAGCUAAGCAGGGCUGAGCCUGGCCAGUACCUGGCUGUGAGAUAACGUGGGAAAACUAGGUUGCUGUUGGAA
rnacentral:rRNA from 1 species